rnacentral:lncRNA from 1 species
AGCUAUUCCAUGGCUUUUCGUGUGGACAAAUCGGGAGGUGGUGUAAACUGGUUUUUGGUGAAAUUCGGCUCGGCCUCAUGCGAACCUAUCUAGGUCCGUCUCUGGAGUGGCCUGUCAUCGAUCGCGCCCUCCAUCGCUGAGCGACACAAGUGGAACCCCCCAGGACUGCAUUCUGCGAAACUACCCUGCUUUUCCCCCAGUUUUGGUCUGUGAACACAUUUGGGAAAUUCUUCUGAUCCUACCGCUACUCUCUUGAGAUGAAGAAACAGCUCAGAUUUGACCAAGAUCACACAAGUAGGAGUUGAGGAAUUGGAACCCACUAUGACUGACUCCAAAUUAAUAUAGUGUUUAUAGCCACUUACAUAAUAAUGAGGGUGUUGCUAUGCUUUCCUCUGUACAAGCUGGUGGUGUAUCAAUUCGUUCUUCCUUAACUUUGGGACUGUCACAGGGUUCCUGCAAUUCGUUUUUGACAAUGUUCAACAUAAUAUUCAAGGGGUUUUCAACUGGUGUCUUGCUGGGAGAUGGUGUACAAUCAAAUGAAGAUGUCUACAAAAUGAAAGGCCCUAUGAGUACUGAUGAAAGUUCAAAAUUCUCACAUUAAAUAACAUUUAGUCUUGUAAGACCCUUGUAUGAACAAGAGAACACACAUACAACCAAAUGCAAAUGAAACACCUGCCUCCCAACAAAAUGUGCCAUAAAGACAACCAGAAAUAAAAUAUAUAUUGCACGUUCAA